CGUAGGAGACGAGCGUUAUCCGGAUUUACUGGGCGUAAAGCGUGUGCAGGCGGUUCGGCAAGUUGGAUGUGAAAUCUCCCGGCUCAACUGGGAGGGGUCGUUCAAUACUACCGAACUUGAGGUCAUCAGAGGAAGGUGGAAUUCCGGGUGUAGUGGUGAAAUGCGUAGAUAUCCGGAGGAACACCAGUGGCGAAGGCGGCCUUCUGGGAUGAUCCUGACGCUCAGACACGAAAGCUAGGGGAGCGAACGGGAUUAGAGACCCCGGUAGUCCUAGCUGUAAACGGUGUAGACUUGGCGUCGGAGGGUUCAAAACCUUCGGUGUCGUAGCUAACGCGAUAAGUCUACCGCCUGGGGACUACGGCCGCAAGGUUA
rnacentral:rRNA from 1 species